rnacentral:rRNA from 1 species
UACGUAGGGCGCAAGCGUUAUCCGGAAUUAUUGGGCGUAAAGAGCUCGUAGGCGGUUUGUCGCGUCUGCCGUGAAAGUCCGGGGCUCAACUCCGGAUCUGCGGUGGGUACGGGCAGACUAGAGUGAUGUAGGGGAGACUGGAAUUCCUGGUGUAGCGGUGAAAUGCGCAGAUAUCAGGAGGAACACCGAUGGCGAAGGCAGGUCUCUGGGCAUUAACUGACGCUGAGACUCGAAAGCAUGGGGAGCAAACAGG